rnacentral:rRNA from 1 species
GCGGCGUGCUUAACACAUGCAAGUCGUCGAGAAAGCCGAAUUUCGGUUUGGCGAGUAAAGUGGCGCACGGGUGAGUAACGCGUAGGGACCUGCCCUUGUGUUUGGGAUAACAGAGCGAAAGCUCUGCUAAUACCGGAUACGAUCUUCCUUCGGGGGAGAAGAAAGUCAGCCGCUCGAAGAAGCUGGCGCACGAGGAGGGGCCUGGUCCUAUCAGCUAGUUGGUAGGGUAACGGCCUACCAAGGCGACGACGGGUAGCUGGUCUAGAGGAUGAUCAGCCACACUGGCACUGGAACACGGGCCAGACUCCUACGGGAGGCAGCAUGAGGAAUUUUGGACAAUGGGCGCAAGCCUGAUCCAGCCAUGCCGCGUGCGGGAAGAAGCCUUCGGGUUGUAAACCGCUUUUGUCAGGGAAGAAAUCCCUUGAGCUAAUACCUCGGGGGAUGACGGUACCUGAAGAAUAAGCACCGGCUAACUACGUGCCAGCAGCCGCGGUAAU